rnacentral:rRNA from 1 species
GACAGAGGGUGCAAACGUUGCUCGGAAUUACUGGGCGUAAAGCGCGUGUAGGCGGACUUGCAAGUCGGAUGUGAAAUCCCUGGGCUCAACCCAGGAACUGCACUCGAAACUGCAAGUCUUGAGUAUCGGAGAGGAAAGCGGAAUUCCUGGUGUAGAGGUGAAAUUCGUAGAUAUCAGGAGGAACACCGGUGGCGAAGGCGGCUUUCUGGACGAUAACUGACGCUGAGACGCGAAAGCGUGGGGAGCAAACAGG